rnacentral:rRNA from 1 species
AGGGAAUCUUCCACAAUGGACGCAAGUCUGAUGGAGCAACGCCGCGUGAGUGAAGAAGGUUUUCGGACCGUAAAGCUCUGUUGUUGGUGAAGAAGGAUAGAGGUAGUAACUGGCCUUUAUUUGACGGUAAUCAACCAGAAAGUCACGGCUAACUACGUGCCAGCAGCCGCGGUAAUACGUAGGUGGCAAGCGUUGUCCGGAUUUAUUGGGCGUAAAGCGAGCGCAGGCGGAAGAAUAAGUCUGAUGUGAAAGCCCUCGGCUUAACCGAGGAAUUGCAUCGGAAACUGUUUUCUUGAGUGCAGAAGAGGAGAGUAGAACUCCAUGUGUAGCGGUGGAAUGCGUAGAUAUAUGGAAGAAUACCAGUGGCGAAGGCGGCUCUCUGGUCUGCAACUGACGCUGAGGCUCGAAAGCAUGGGUAGCGAACAGGAUUAGAUACCCUUGGUAGUCCAUGCCG